GGAGUGGAGCCUGCGGCUUAAUUUGACUCAACACGGGAAAACUUACCCGGCCCGGACACCGGAAGGAUUGACAGAUUGAUAGCUCUUUCUUGAUUCGGUGGGUGGUGGUGCAUGGCCGUUCUUAGUUGGUGGAGCGAUUUGUCUGGUUAAUUCCGAUAACGAACGAGACUCUAGCCUACUAAAUAGACCCGUGGUCCUUGGUACCGCGACGUGGUCUUCUUAGAGGGACAGGCGGCUCUUAGCCGCACGAAACAGAGCAAUAACAGGUCUGUGAUGCCCUUAGAUGUCCGGGGCCGCACGCGCGCUACACUGGCGGAACCAGGAGGUGUCUUGCCCUGGUCCGAAAGGACUGGGUAACCCUGUGAGCCUCCUUCGUGAUUGGGAUAGGGGAUUGUAAUUAUUCCCCUCGAACGAGGAAUUCCCAGUAAGCGCAGGUCAACAGCCUGCGUUGAUUACGUCCCUGCCCUUUGUGCACACCGCCUGUCGCUACUAUCGAUUGAAUGUCUUAGUGAGGUCUUCGGACCGUUUCGACGGAAAAGCCUAGUGCUCGACCCCGAUUCGGAAAGAUGCCCAAACUUGGUCAUUUAGAGAAAGUAAAAGUCAUAACAAGGUUGCC
rnacentral:rRNA from 1 species